rnacentral:rRNA from 2 species
UACGUAGGGCGCAAGCGUUGUCCGGAAUUAUUGGGCGUAAAGAGCUCGUAGGCGGUUUGUCGCGUCUGCUGUGAAAACGCGAGGCUUAACCUCGCGCCUGCAGUGGGUACGGGCAGACUAGAGUGCGGUAGGGGAGACUGGAAUUCCUGGUGUAGCGGUGGAAUGCGCAGAUAUCAGGAGGAACACCGGUGGCGAAGGCGGGUCUCUGGGCCGUUACUGACGCUGAGGAGCGAAAGCAUGGGGAGCGAACAGG